CAGAGACAGUGCAGGUGAGGGAGAGGGUCUGCGAGGGCUUCACCAGUCCUGGGCCCACCCCUGAAACUGCAGCUGGGACAGGACACCUGGGGACUAGAAGCAUCAAGAGGAAGAGGCACGUGG